AUCCCUUCCCUUGGAUGCGUAGAAUGUUCAAGGCUCUGGGUACACCUGGGACUAUAAUCUCCAACGGGGAUUACCCAUACCUUUAUGCAACAGUUCAAGUGUAAUGAAUUGAUGGCAAGAGCAAAGAAUCAGAUAUCAAACGGAGCAGGAACGCGAUGCCCUGUCUCCACGCGGAGUCGUUAAAUUCACUGUCUGCUGGAGGUGAUUACGAAUCAAAGACGGAACCUGUAGCUUCAUUCCCUUCUACACGAGGAAUCGGGCAACGGCGCGCCUCGGUAGGGUUGAUUACUGAAGAUACUACUUUUGUAACUAGCGCGGGGUGGAUCUUUUCACCUUUGUGGAGUCGGCGCGCUCAAUCGCUGCGCUUUGGAUUUCGUAAAGGCGUUGGGAGCGAAACAGUUGACGCUCUGCUUGACAAUCACUCAGAUUUUGCGCGGACGUAUUUCUUACAAAGGCCAUCAAGGGAUAUGGUGAAUGGGUCUCACAGUGAGAAGUCUUCACAGGCCUCAAAAGAAGGGGCUAGGUCUAAGAAGGAUGUCCGUUCAAGCACACCACAGCUGUGCCGGCGGAG